rnacentral:lncRNA from 1 species
UUUGCUAGAGUUUGAGUGAUGUUUCAGGUUCACAAAAGGUGUUCCUAGUUCAUCAUCAAAUCCGAGUUGAAAGAGAAAGUAUGGUGUCCAUUGUGUGUGCAAUGGAGAGUUAUUACAAGAAGGGUGAAGCGCAGAUGGUUGUAAAACCCACUUGAAGCUCACUGGUCUUCCUCUUACCACUGCAAGUAACUGAAGAAGAAGCCAACCGGGUCUAGGCAGUGGCGUGCCUAUUCAAGAGGGUGCUCAAACUAAGACAGAGCACUCUUGGCUGUGUGAAGAAGAAGGCUACUCUAUCAAGGCGGCUUCUAUUGUGAGGUGAUUGAAGAAGUAGCUGACGCAUCCACAAGCAUUCCAUCAUGGUGGUGAAUUCAGAAGGAUGAUUGCAAUAAGAGAAGAAGAAGAAGUGAGGAUUCAAGUGGUAACUUUGAGAACCACUCCUCAUCAUCUUAAACAAGGGAGUAAACCUAAUCUCAUCUGUCUUAAUAUGUCUUGAUAGGUUUAUCUCCUGAUUAUACUAUGUGCUUUCCCUAAUUCCAUUAAGAGUUUAUAGCUUCUAGUAGAAUGUCUAGACUAAUUGCACUGAAAUUGUUUUGCUGCUGCAUUGUCUUAUUGAUAGUAAGUAAUGUCUAGAGUCCCAGAAUCUCAUGUUCUGUUUAUUGCAUUGUCUUGGGUGUUGUCAUAGCUUGAAUCAUCAUGAAUGUGUUGUAGAAUUGAGUAGAAUGUCUCUACUGCUUGCAUCAUGAUUGAUAAGUUAUUCUGCAUACAUAAGCAUAUCUCAUACUGUCUA